rnacentral:tRNA from 1 species
GCCCCCGUAGCUCAGCUGGAUAGAGCAGCGGACUUCUAAUCCGCAGGUCGCUGGUUCGAAUCCAGCCGGGGGCG